GGAAGUAAAAGUCGUAACAAGGUUUCCGUAGGUGAACCUGCGGAAGGAUCAUUAUUGAAAUAAACCUGAUGAGUUGCUGCUGGUUCUCUAGGGAGCAUGUGCACACUUGUCAUCUUUGUAUCUCCACCUGUGCACCUUUUGUAGACCUGGAUAUCUCUCUGAAUGCUAGUCACUCAGGUUUGAGGAUUGACUUUAUGUCUCUCCUUGCAUUUCCAGGCCUAUGUUUCUUUAUAUACCCAAUGUAUGUCAUAGAAUGUAAUCAAUGGGCCUUUGUGCCUAUAAACCUAUACAACUUUCAGCAACGGAUCUCUUGGCUCUCGCAUCGAUGAAGAACGCAGCGAAAUGCGAUAAGUAAUGUGAAUUGCAGAAUUCAGUGAAUCAUCGAAUCUUUGAACGCACCUUGCGCUCCUUGGUAUUCCGAGGAGCAUGCCUGUUUGAGUGUCAUUAAUAUAUCAACCUCUUCAACUUUUGUUUGUCGGGUGUUGGAUUUGGGGGUCUUUUUUGCUGGUCUUGUAUCUACAGGUCAGCUCCCCUGAAAUGCAUUAGCAGAACAAUUUGUGAACCGUUCAUUGGUGUGAUAACUAUCUACGCUGUUGACGUGAAACAGGUUCAGCUUCUAACAGUCCAUUGACUUGGACAACUUUUCAUUAAUGUGACCUCAAAUCAGGUAGGACUACCCGCUGAACUUAAGCAUAUCAAUAAGCGGAGGAAAAGAAACUAACAAGGAUUCCCCUAGUAACUGCGAGUGAAGCGGGAAAAGCUCAAAUUUAAAAUCUGUCAGUCUUUGGCUGUCCGAGUUGUAAUCUA
rnacentral:rRNA from 1 species